GAAACAUUUAGUCAAAUAUUCGAUAUGCCAACCAUAGUUUAACAGGAGCAUAUCCAUGCUUCGAAGGAAGAGUAAUUCGAGGAAAGGAACCAUUCUCUGCAGACGAAAAGAGGAUUGAAAACUUCGAGACACUGAAGAUCAAGACGAUAUGAUAAUCCAGGACAAAGUGGCAUUUGUUACUGGCGGAGCACAGGGAAUAGGACGCGCUAUAUGUGAGGCACUGCUGCAAAAGGGGGCUAAGGUUAUUAUAGCAGAUAUCGACGCUGCAAAGGGGAAGUUGACGGCUUCAGAGCUUGCCACUGAGUAUGCUGAUAAC
rnacentral:lncRNA from 1 species